ACACCAAGAACUAUAUUUUCCUCCAAUGCAGAUCUAGAUGAUGAUGGCUGAGAAACUGACCUUUUCUCCUGUUUUGACUGGGAAGAUUCCUUCAAUCCACCUGCUUUUUCAGUACUAGCUUCCUGUGAGUUAACUGCAGUUACCUUGCUAUUCUGGCUUACAUUUGCAGGACUAGUAGUCUUAGAUUUCGCAUCUGAUGUUGUCUUAUUUUUAUUCAAAUUGUCAGAGACUGAUCCUGCUGCUUUGGAUCCCAAACCUGAUGCUUCUGUAGCAUUUGAAUUUGUCUUAAGGACAGAAGUUGGUGGGGAUUUCACUGUCAUUUUGUCAUCGACCCUGGAAUGAGAUACGGAUACUGUUGUAGACUUUGUGUGCACCU
rnacentral:lncRNA from 1 species